UACGUAGGGUGCAAGCGUUGUCCGGAAUUAUUGGGCGUAAAGAGCUCGUAGGCGGUCUGUCGCGUCUGCUGUGAAAACUCAGGGCUUAACCCCGAGCCUGCAGUGGAUACGGGCAGACUAGAGGUAGGUAGGGGAGAGUGGAAUUCCUGGUGUAGCGGUGAAAUGCGCAGAUAUCAGGAAGAACACCCGUGGCUAAGGCGGCUCUCUAGUACGGUACUGACGCUGAGACGCGAAAGCGUGGGGAGCGAACAGG
rnacentral:rRNA from 1 species